rnacentral:rRNA from 1 species
GCGUGCUACCAUGCAGUCGAACGGUGAGCCAAGCUUGCUUGGUGGAUCAGUGGCGAACGGGUGAGUAACACGUGAGCAACCUGCCCUGAACUCUGGGAUAAGCGCUGGAAACGGCGUCUAAUACUGGAUAUGAGCUGCGGAGGCAUCUUCGUGGUUGGAAAGAUUUUUCGGUUUGGGAUGGGCUCGCGGCCUAUCAGCUUGUUGGUGAGGUAAUGGCUCACCAAGGCGUCGACGGGUAGCCGGCCUGAGAGGGUGACCGGCCACACUGGGACUGAGACACGGCCCAGACUCCUACGGGAGGCAGCAGUGGGGAAUAUUGCACAAUGGGCGGAAGCCUGAUGCAGCAACGCCGCGUGAGGGAUGACGGCCUUCGGGUUGUAAACCUCUUUUAGCAGGGAAGAAGCGAAAGUGACGGUACCUGCAGAAAAAGCGCCGGCUAACUACGUGCCAGCAGCCGCGGUAAUACGUAGGGCGCAAGCGUUAUCCGGAAUUAUUGGGCGUAAAGAGCUCGUAGGCGGUUUGUCGCGUCUGCUGUGAAAUCCUCGAGGCUCAACCUCCCGAGCCUGCAGUGGGUACGGGCAGACUAGAGUGCGGUAGGGGAGAUUGGAAUUCCUGGUGUAGCGGUGGAAUGCGCAGAUAUCAGGAGGAACACCGAUGGCGAAGGCAGAUCUCUGGGCCGUAACUGACGCUGAGGAGCGAAAGGGUGGGGAGCAAACAGGCUUAGAUACCCUGGUAGUCCACCCCGUAAACGUUGGGAACUAGUUGUGGGGUCCAUUCCACGGAUUCCGUGACGCAGCUAACGCAUUAAGUUCCCCGCCUGGGGAGUACGGCCGCAAGGCUAAAACUCAAAGGAAUUGACGGGGACCCGCACAAGCGGCGGAGCAUGCGGAUUAAUUCGAUGCAACGCGAAGAACCUUACCAAGGCUUGACAUACACGAGAACGCUGCAGAAAUGUAGAACUCUUUGGACACUCGUGAACAGGUGGUGCAUGGUUGUCGUCAGCUCGUGUCGUGAGAUGUUGGGUUAAGUCCCGCAACGAGCGCAACCCUCGUUCUAUGUUGCCAGCACGUAAUGGUGGGAACUCAUGGGAUACUGCCGGGGUCAACUCGGAGGAAGGUGGGGAUGACGUCAAAUCAUCAUGCCCCUUAUGUCUUGGGCUUCACGCAUGCUACAAUGGCCGGUACAAAGGGCUGCAAUACCGCGAGGUGGAGCGAAUCCCAAAAAGCCGGUCCCAGUUCGGAUUGAGGUCUGCAACUCGACCUCAUGAAGUCGGAGUCGCUAGUAAUCGCAGAUCAGCAACGCUGCGGUGAAUACGUUCCCGGGUCUUGUACACACCGCCCGUCAAGUCAUGAAAGUCGGUAACACCUGAAGCCGGUGGCCCAACCCUUGUGGAGGAGCCGUCGAAGUGAAUC